GGGCAUGCCUGUUUGAGUAUCAUGAACACCUCAACUCUCAUGGUUUGCCAUGAUGAGCUUGGACUUUGGGGGUCUUGCUGGCCUGCGGUCAGCUCCUCUCAAACGAAUCAGCUUGCCAGUGUUUGGUGGCAACACAGGUGUGAUAAAUAUCUACAUUUGUGGUUUUCUGCCAGAUAACCUUCAGUGAUGGAGGUUCGCUGCAGCUCAUAAACGUCUCUCCUCAGUGAAGACAGCUCUGUGAAUGUUUGAUCUCAAAUCAGGUAGGACUACCCGCUGAACUUAAGCAUAUCAAUAAGCGGAGG
rnacentral:rRNA from 1 species